rnacentral:lncRNA from 1 species
AUUUACAAAAAGAUGAACAGCAGCAGCCAGAUCUUUCUGAGAGAACCAAGCUCACGGAGGAUAAAACCACCCUGACCAAGAAGAUGACCACAGAAGAAGUGAUUGAAAAAUUCAAAAAGUGUAUACAGCAGCAGGACCCGGCAUUCAAAAAACGAUUUCUUGACUUCAGCAAGGAGCCUAAUGGAAAAAUUAACGUGCAUGACUUUAAGAAGAUCCUCCAAUGAGAGGGCCGGAAACCACUCCGCCGCAGCCUCCAACUCCUUCAAAAAGUUA